rnacentral:rRNA from 1 species
GACGAACGCUGGCGGCGUGCCUAAUACAUGCAAGUCGAGCGAGCGGAACUAACAGAUUUACUUCGGUAAUGACGUUAGGAAAGCGAGCGGCGGAUGGGUGAGUAACACGUGGGGAACCUGCCCCAUAGUCUGGGAUACCACUUGGAAACAGGUGCUAAUACCGGAUAAGAAAGCAGAUCGCAUGAUCAGCUUUUAAAAGGCGGCGUAAGCUGUCGCUAUGGGAUGGCCCCGCGGUGCAUUAGCUAGUUGGUAAGGUAAAGGCUUACCAAGGCGAUGAUGCAUAGCCGAGUUGAGAGACUGAUCGGCCACAUUGGGACUGAGACACGGCCCAAACUCCUACGGGAGGCAGCAGUAGGGAAUCUUCCACAAUGGACGCAAGUCUGAUGGAGCAACGCCGCGUGAGUGAAGAAGGUUUUCGGAUCGUAAAGCUCUGUUGUUGGUGAAGAAGGAUAGAGGUAGUAACUGGCCUUUAUUUGACGGUAAUCAACCAGAAAGUCAUGGCUAACUACGUGCCAGCAGCCGCGGUAAUACGUAGGUGGCAAGCGUUGUCCGGAUUUAUUGGGCGUAAAGCGGGCGCAGGCGGAAGAAUAAGUCUGAUGUGAAAGCCCUCGGCUUAACCGAGGAACUGCAUCGGAAACUGUUUUUCUUGAGUGCAGAAGAGGAGAGUGGAACUCCAUGUGUAGCGGUGGAAUGCGUAGAUAUAUGGAAGAACACCAGUGGCGAAGGCGGCUCUCUGGUCUGCAACUGACGCUGAGGCUCGAAAGCAUGGGUAGCGAACAGGAUUAGAUACCCUGGUAGUCCAUGCCGUAAACGAUGAGUGCUAAGUGUUGGGAGGUUUCCGCCUCUCAGUGCUGCAGCUAACGCAUUAAGCACUCCGCCUGGGGAGUACGACCGCAAGGUUGAAACUCAAAGGAAUUGACGGGGGCCCGCACAAGCGGUGGAGCAUGUGGUUUAAUUCGAAGCAACGCGAAGAACCUUACCAGGUCUUGACAUCUAGUGCCAUUUGUAGAGAUACAAAGUUCCCUUCGGGGACGCUAAGACAGGUGGUGCAUGGCUGUCGUCAGCUCGUGUCGUGAGAUGUUGGGUUAAGUCCCGCAACGAGCGCAACCCUUGUUAUUAGUUGCCAGCAUUAAGUUGGGCACUCUAAUGAGACUGCCGGUGACAAACCGGAGGAAGGUGGGGAUGACGUCAAGUCAUCAUGCCCCUUAUGACCUGGGCUACACACGUGCUACAAUGGGCAGUACAACGAGAAGCGAGCCUGCGAAGGCAAGCGAAUCUCUGAAAGCUGUUCUCAGUUCGGACUGCAGUCUGCAACUCGACUGCACGAAGCUGGAAUCGCUAGUAAUCGCGGAUCAGCACGCCGCGGUGAAUACGUUCCCGGGCCU